ensembl:lncRNA
ACACUCAUGUUCUCCACUUUCCAAGUAUUUUCAGUGCUUUUACAAUGAAACACUUUUUUUUUUUUUUUUUUUUUUUUUUUUUUUUUUUGUGAAGGUUAGCUCAGGAUGUGGACUAGAGAUGUACAAAUACGGUUUUUUUUUUCUUGUUUUAUAUUUUUUUUUUUUUUUUUUUUUUUCCUUUUUUUUUUCAAAAUUUGCAAAAAAAAUUUGCCUUUCCAGUGCUGAACCUGCCUCUCUGCCUGCAUCCCAGCUCACUCUGUCUGAUCCCAGAGGGGAAAGAAACCCAGAUGUGGACAAGAGCAAACUGCAGCCACCUCCAUCUCCAUCGGCUCGGUGUAGGAGGGAAGUUUGGCAGGGUGGGCUGUGGCAGUACUGAAGCACAGAUAGUGCCCCGGCAGCAUUCUGGGGCUUUCAAGCGAUUUUGGUUUUAUCCCAGCGGAGUGAACUGUCCUGAACUCACCUCCUCCCUGGGCUGUUACCCUCAUGGUCAGCUACCCCAAAACUCCCAAGCCCAUAGGUGGGAUGGGGUGGGGUGGGAUGCAGUGGGGUGCUGUCCCUAGCCCACAGCUUCGGCUUGGCUCGGAGCCAUAAAGGCCCUGCCAUUCAGCAGCAACUCUGGCUCUUGCUAAUUUUAUUUAUCAUAUCUCAUGGCUUUAUGUUUGCUGCCCACCCUUUGCUGGACUGCAGGUGUUUGCAGCAGUUUCUCUUCUCACUUUCGGUUGUGUGUAUGGCCGUAACUCUCAGCUAGACUUCAACAUUACAGAUACAAGCCUCGUGAAUUAGGUAUUAUAGCAGAAAUGGCUUACGAGAGCCCUGUGUGAAUCCUUGGCUGCUCUCUCCACACCCAGCAUAGCUGAAGCCCAUCUGGGCUGUUCAGUGGCAUCAAGAAGAGAUACAGCAAAAACAAAGAGGGACACAUGAAAAAGGACAUAAGAAAUUGAAGAAACAAGCAGAGCACAAGAAACAUAAACAGCAGCAGCUGAGCAUAAUUCAUUCCAGCCUUCCUCAGUAGCUGAAUAUGGUUUUCUAAACUGCUAGUUAAUUUUUCACAUUGCCAUUCAGCUACUGUGUUACUGUGCUUGGAUUUUCACCCUGGUGUAUAGCAACAACUUCAUUCCUGUGGAAAUACAGAGGAGAUCCAUCUCCACCCAGACCUCAGCUCACCGUACAUCACCUCCCACUGACAGCCAGAACCCAGUGGAAGCUGCUUGUUCUCCUGGAGGAGAUCUGCUUUCUGAAGCAGGUGUUAAUUCAUGUUCCCAUGCUGGCUUGACUGGAUCCACAGCUUGCUGCUGUGCUACUCUGGAAGUCACUAGUGUUUGUCAGAUACACAAUUUUUCCAUUAAGAGGAAGCCACCAGGCUGUGCCACGGGCAGCACAGGAGGUGAUCGUCCACUCUUUGGGGUCACAGCUCUCACCCUUGGCAGGAGCAGAUGCUGUAUUGCCAGACUGAUUUUGUGGGGAGGGCUAAGCUCAUGGCACGGCUCCUCUGUAAGCUGUGCACGGCCACAUAUUAGUUCAACUGUAAGAGGAAGAGGUGCUGAAGAAUGAGGUUUUUGUACUUUCUCGGGCAGCUGAGGUCAUCUUGUCCAAAAACUUAGGCUGUACAGUGUCCAGCAUCAGCUAUUCCAGAAGACAGCAUAAAAAAAUCCACAGUUGUGGGUUCUCAGAGUGAUCCUUUCUGCUCUCAGCCCUAACCUUAAGGAUAAGCUCCCUUCUCUAAUUCCGUUUUGCUAAUUACACCAGGUACCACCUGGUACCAGCAGUUAUACAGAAUGCUAAGACCAUUUUUCAGUGUGAUAUUCCUGGCCUCAGGCCUCCCUGGGGCUCCAGGUUCCACAUUUAAUCAAUGUAUAGAAAAACAACUUUUCUUUCUGGUUUUGGACUCUGUCACUGCCAAUCAGCACUGGAAUCCUCUCACUCCCCCAUUGGCAAAUGGAGGAGAGCAGGUCCCAAGACACCUCCUUUGUGCUCAUCACUUGUGCUUUUACAAACCUUGCUCCUUUACUUGGUUUUGAUGACAUUAAACAAACAAUGGACUUUCCAGUGCCUUUGCUUCAAACUUUUCAGAGGUUAUUUGAUAUGAGAUUUGAUGUUCUUGUCUUUCUUUUGACCUCUUGUCCCGAGGGUCCUCCCCAAAGAUGCCAUGGUGAGGUGACCCUCUUUGCUCACCCUGUU